GACGAACGCUGGCGGCGUGCCUAAUACAUGCAAGUUGAGCGAUGAAGAUUGGUGCUUGCACCAAUUUGAAGAGCAGCGGACGGGUGAGUAACGCGUGGGGAAUCUGCCUUUGAGCGGGGGACAACAUUUGGAAACGAAUGCUAAUACCGCAUAAUAACUUUAAACAUAAGUUUUAAGUUUGAAAGAUGCAAUUGCAUCACUCAAAGAUGAUCCCGCGUUGUAUUAGCUAGUUGGUGAGGUAAAGGCUCACCAAGGCGAUGAUACAUAGCCGACCUGAGAGGGUGGUCGGCCACAUUGGGACUGAGACACGGCCCAAACUCCUACGGGAGGCAGCAGUAGGGAAUCUUCGGCAAUGGACGAAAGUCUGACCGAGCAACGCCGCGUGAGUGAAGAAGGUUUUCGGAUCGUAAAACUCUGUUGGUAGAGAAGAACGUUGGUGAGAGUGGAAAGCUCAUCAAGUGACGGUAACUACCCAGAAAGGGACGGCUAACUACGUG
rnacentral:rRNA from 1 species